GACGAACGCUGGCGGCGUGCUUAACACAUGCAAGUCGAACGGAAAGGCCCUGCUUUUGUGGGGUGCUCGAGUGGCGAACGGGUGAGUAACACGUGAGUAACCUGCCCUUGACUUUGGGAUAACUUCAGGAAACUGGGGCUAAUACCGGAUAGGAGCUCCUGCUGCAUGGUGGGGGUUGGAAAGUUUCGGCGGUUGGGGAUGGACUCGCGGCUUAUCAGCUUGUUGGUGGGGUAGUGGCUUACCAAGGCUUUGACGGGUAGCCGGCCUGAGAGGGUGACCGGCCACAUUGGGACUGAGAUACGGCCCAGACUCCUACGGGAGGCAACAGGGGGGAAUAUUGCACAAUGGGCGGAAGCCUGAUGCAGCAACGCCGCGUGCGGGAUGACGGCCUUCGGGUUGUAAACCGCUUUCGCCUGUGACGAAGCGUGAGUGACGGUAAUGGGUAAAGAAGCACCGGCUAACUACGUG
rnacentral:rRNA from 1 species